rnacentral:rRNA from 1 species
UACGUAGGGGGCAAGCGUUGUCCGGAAUUAUUGGGCGUAAAGAGCUCGUAGGCGGUUCGAUAAGUCGGGUGUGAAACCCCCAGGCUCAACCUGGGGACGCCACCCGAUACUGUCGUGACUAGAGUCCAGUAGGGGAGUGUGGAAUUCCCGGUGUAGCGGUGAAAUGCGCAGAUAUCGGGAGGAACACCAGCGGCGAAGGCGGCACUCUGGACUGGUCCUGACACUCAGGAGCGAAAGCGUGGGGAGCGAUCCGG